rnacentral:rRNA from 1 species
UACGAAGGGGGCUAGCGUUGUUCGGAAUUACUGGGCGUAAAGCGCACGUAGGCGGAAAUUUAAGUCAGGGGUGAAAUCCCGGGGCUCAACCCCGGAACUGCCUUUGAUACUGGGUUUCUUGAGUUCGGAAGAGGUAAGUGGAAUUGCGAGUGUAGAGGUGAAAUUCGUAGAUAUUCGCAGGAACACCAGUGGCGAAGGCGGCUUACUGGUCCGAUACUGACGCUGAGGAGCGAAAGCGUGGGGAGCGAACAGG